CGUUUCCUUGCUGGAGAGAGGCGCCCGCCGGGCGCCCACCGAAGGAGCAAGCCCCGCCACCGUGGGGUGAAUCUCUCAGGUAAAGAGGACAGCAGGGCAGAU
rnacentral:ncRNA from 2 species